rnacentral:ncRNA from 1 species
CUUUGCACACGCGGGAGCUCGGAGCACCGGGCUGAGAGGGCGCUGAUCACCGUACGCGCGUACUGGAUGUACGUACGGGAGGAGGCUGCGCCGACCGCCGAACCUGUUACCGGGUAAUGCCGGCGUAGGGAGAUCGGUCUCAUGACCA